UACAGAGACUGCAAGCGUUAUUCGGAUUCACUGGGCGUAAAGGGUGCGCAGGUGGCCAAGUGUGUUAGGCGUGAAAGCCCGGGGCUUAACCCCGGAAUUGCACCUAAAACUACAUGGCUAGAGCAUUGGAGAGGGGAGCAGAAUUCACGGUGUAGCAGUGAAGUGCGUAGAUAUCGUGAGGAAUACCAGAGGCGAAGGCGGCUCCCUGGACAAUUGCUGACACUCAGGCACGAAAGCGUGGGGAGCAAAAGGG
rnacentral:rRNA from 1 species